UACGUAGGGUCCGAGCGUUGUCCGGAAUUACUGGGCGUAAAGAGCUCGUAGGUGGUUUGUCGCGUUGUUCGUGAAACUCACAGCUCAACUGUGGGCGUGCGGGCGAUACGGGCAGACUAGAGUACUGCAGGGGAGACUGGAAUUCCUGGUGUAGCGGUGGAAUGCGCAGAUAUCAGGAGGAACACCGGUGGCGAAGGCGGGUCUCUGGGCCGAUACUGACGCUGGAGGAGCGAAAGCGUGGGGAGCGAACAGG
rnacentral:rRNA from 1 species